rnacentral:rRNA from 1 species
UACGUAGGGACCAAGCGUUGUCCGGAAUCAUUGGGCGUAAAGAGCUCGUAGGCGGUUCGUCGCGUCGGCUGUGAAAACCCGGAGCUCAACUCCGGGCCUGCAGUCGAUACGGGCGGACUUGAGUGUUGCAGGGGAGACUGGAAUUCCUGGUGUAGCGGUGAAAUGCGUAGAGAUCCGGAAGAACACCAGUGGCGAAGGCGGCCUGCUGGGCAGUGGACCUGAAAGGGUCCUUCAACCGACACUGAAUGCGCGACAGCGUGGGGAGCAAACAGG